UCAAAGAAUCUCAAUUUGCCAUCUUGCUUCAUUUACAAACUUUUGUAAAAGACGGUCUUACAGGAAAGACCGCCUCAAUGGCACAUUAACUGCCACACAAGCUGCCAGGUGAAAUGCUGACGUCAGCAUCAAAAAAUAAAAAUAUAUAUAAUAUUUAUGUUUUUUUUUCAUUUCAUUUUCCAAAACCUAAUUCGUUUCUUUCUCUCUCCUAAAUUCUCUUCCCCUCUCUCUCUCCUAAAGGAAGAAUUGCUCCUCUCUCCUCCGUAACAAAAGGAUCGGUGGCGAUGGUGGAACUGCCGAUCUUUCGGCGGCGUCAGGCUUAAUUUUCGGACCUCCACCGCGCCUCGUGUCGGAUUAUCGUCAUUUACCGUCAAAGCGGCUGCAGGUACGGUGGUUUUCGUCGACAAGUCCGAAGCGGAGACGAUUGUUUUGAAGUUCAGGAUACUCGAAGCCGCCAGCGCCUCCUUGCCACCUCCAUAAUCAAACCGCCGGAAACUUCAGGUAGCGAGCAGUGGUGAUAGAGGUAGAAGAUCGUUUGCGGUGCGACACGGAAAAUAAUUUCCUCAACCAUGUCAAUCGUCGUCUCCGUCGUCUCCGUCGUCUCUGUCGUCGUUCGAUUCAACUCGCUCUUGUUGAUAUAUGGUUGCUUGUUGAGGCCUGAGUUCCUCAUCUUUCUGAAAAAACAGUGUGCAAACUAGCUCCAUUUUGUUGGUGUUGCGGCGGUGGCGGAUGUGACUUGCUGUUGGUUGUGCGGUGUUGUUGGUGGUGUUCGAAUGUUUGAACAAAUUGCAGAAAUAAGUUUGAUAUUUGAAAGAUUAUGUGGUUGUUGUUGGUAGGUUAUGAUGAUGUUGUUGUUGGAUGCACUAUACAAUCAAUGAUGUAGACAUGUAGUAGUGCUGCUGAUGCUUUGUUGGAUGUCCCUUAGAUGCCUUGACAGAGGUGAAGUUCAGGAUGGCAGCUUGGUAGCCUCUUCGUUCGUUCAUCUCCAGAUUUAGUUAAUGAUUUAUGUAAUAAUUUUAGUUAAUUUCGUGUAAGCUAUGUUUAAUUUUGUUUUAAGUUGAGAAAAAAUCCAUUUUAGUUAAGAUAUAAAGUUGUUUAGUUAUUUUUUUGUAUUUACCUCAAUUUUUAUAAUUUGUAUUUUGGUGUUG